CUGCAACUUUACCCUUAGAGCAGGAAAACUUUACCCUUGGUGAUGCCGACUUGAAUUCAAAGGUGAACGGAGCUGGAGGACAUCUUCAAAGCGGUCGAGGACAUCACAGGAAAGCCAAUGAGGUGCGUUGCCCUCCUCCGACACCCUCGGAAUACAUUCCAUGUGUCUCCCCUGCAACGCGAUACGCUGUCAGAGGGAAGAAAGAAAAAAAAGAAAAAAAACGAUGCCAUCGGAGCCUGCUGCCAUUAACUUGAUUUACAUGGGGUUUCAGUCGAAGGCUGAC